UACGGGGGGGCAAGCGUUGUUCGGAAUUACUGGGCGUAAAGGGCGCGUAGGCGGCCCGGCUAAGUCAGACGUGAAAUCCCGUCGGCCGUCAACCCGGGGAACAUGCGUCGUGACUACUGGGCAGGCUUGAAUCCGGGAGAGGGAUGGUGGAAUUCCGAGGUGUAGCGGUGAAAUGCGCAGAUAUCAGGAAGAAUAUCCGUGGCGGAAGGCGGCUCUCUGGUACGGCACUGGACGCUGAG
rnacentral:rRNA from 1 species